GGAGGGUUAGCUCAGUGGUAGAGCGAGAGAUUGCAGAUCUCUAGGUCGUGGUUUCGAGUACCACACUCUCCU
rfam:Grosmannia clavigera kw1407 unplaced genomic scaffold GCSC_140, whole genome shotgun sequence.